AGCAGCCGCGGUAAUUCCAGCUCCAAUAGCGUAUAUUAAAGUUGUUGCAGUUAAAAAGCUCGUAGUUGAAUUUCGGGGUCAGCAGGUUGGUCAUGCCUCUGGUAUGCACUGGUUUCGCUGAUUCCUCCUUUCUGAAGAACUGUAAUGUCAUUAAUUUGGUGUUGCAGGGAAACAGGACUGUUACUUUGAAAAAAUUAGAGUGUUUAAAGCAAGCUAACGCUUGAAUACAUUAGCAUGGAAUAAUGAAAUAGGACGUUUGAUCCUAUUUUGUUGGUUUCUAGGAUUGACGUAAUGAUUAAUAGGGAUAGUUGGGGGCAUUAGUAUUCAAUUGUCAGAGGUGAAAUUCUUGGAUUUAUUGAAGACUAACUACUGCGAAAGCAUUUGCCAAGGAUGUUUUCAUUAAUCAAGAACGAAAGUUAGGGGAUCGAAGACGAUCAGAUACCGUCGUAGUCUUAACCAUAAACUAUGCCGACUAGGGAUCGGAUGAUGUUAAUUUUUUAAUGACUCA
rnacentral:rRNA from 1 species